UACAGAGGGUGCAAGCGUUGUUCGGAAUUACUGGGCGUAAAGCGCGUGUAGGCGGCUUUUCAAGUCCUGUGUGAAAGCCCUGGGCUCAACCCAGGAAGUGCGCAGGAUACUGGGAGGCUGGAGUGCCGGAGAGGAUGGCGGAAUUCCCGGUGUAGAGGUGAAAUUCGUAGAUAUCGGGAGGAACACCUGUGGCGAAGGCGGCCAUCUGGACGGUGACUGACGCUGAGACGCGAAAGCAUGGGGAGCAAACAGG
rnacentral:rRNA from 1 species